ensembl:lncRNA
GGGAGAGAAUGGAGGAGAGAAUGGAGGAGAGAAUGGAGGAGAGAAUGGAGGAGAGAAUGGAGGAGAGAAUGGAGGAGAGAAUGGAGGAGAAUAGAGGAGAGAAUGGAGGAGAGAAUGGAGGAGAGAAUGGAGGUGAGAAUAGAGGAGAGAAUGGAGGAGAGAAUGGAGGUGAGAAUGGAGGAGAGAAUGGAGGAGAGGAUGGAGGAGAAUAGAGGAGAGAAUGGAGGAGAGAAUGGAGGAGAAUAGAGGAAAGAAUGGAGGAGAGAAUGGAGGGGAGAAUGGAGGAGAAUAGAGGAGAGAAUGGAGGAGAAUAGGGGAGAGAAUGGAGGAGAGAAUAGAGGAGAAUAGAGGAGAGAAUGGAGGAGAGAAUGGAGGAGAGAAUGGGGGAGAGAAUGGAGGAGAAUAGAGGAGAGAAUGGAGGAGAGAAUGGGGGAGAGAAUGGAGGAGAAUAGAGGAGAGAAUGGAGGAGAGAAUGGAGGAGAGAAUGGAGGAGAAUAGAGGAGAGAAUGGAGGAGAGAAUGGAGGAGAGAAUGGAGGAGAGAAUGGAGGAGAAUAGAGGAGAGAAUGGAGGAGAG